rfam:Picea glauca, whole genome shotgun sequence.
ACAUGUACAUUCCUAUAGCGUUAAUGCACUUAAUCCCAUUAGAACUUUGCAGCUAAUUGUUCUUGGGCUAGAGUAGUACUAGGGUGGCUGACUUCUUGAGAAGUCCUAGUGUUUUACAUGCC